GAUGAACGCUGGCGGCGUGCCUAACACAUGCAAGUCGAGCGAGAAGCUUAUGACUGAUACUUCGGUUGAGAGAUUAAGUGGAAAGCGGCGGACGGGUGAGUAACGCGUAGGCAACCUGCCCUGUACAGAGGGAUAGCCUCGGGAAACCGGGAUUAAAGCCUCAUGACACUUUCUGUUCACAUGGAUAGGAAGUCAAAGAUUUAUCGGUAUGGGAUGGGCCUGCGUCUGAUUAGUUAGUUGGUGGGGUAACGGCCUACCAAGGCGACGAUCAGUAGCCGACCUGAGAGGGUGAUCGGCCACAUUGGAACUGAGACACGGUCCAAACUCCUACGGGAGGCAGCAGUGGGGAAUAUUGCACAAUGGGGGAAACCCUGAUGCAGCAACGCCGCGUGAGCGAAGAAGGCCUUUGGGUCGUAAAGCUCUGUCGGAAGGGAAGAAACAAAUGACGGUACCUUCUGAGGAAGCCCCGGCUAACUACGUGCCAGCCGCCGCCGUAACAC
rnacentral:rRNA from 1 species